rnacentral:rRNA from 1 species
UCUGGCCGAAUUCUAUGAUUAGAGUUUGAUCAUGGCUCAGGACGAACGCUGGCGGCGUGCCUAAUACAUGCAAGUCGAGCGGACGAUUCAAAAGCUUGCUUUUGGAUCGUUAGCGGCGGACGGGUGAGUAACACGUGGGCAACCUGCCCUGUAGACGGGGAUAACACCGAGAAAUCGGUGCUAAUACCGGAUAACACGAAAGGUCGCAUGGUCUUUCGUUGAAAGACGGCGCAAGCUGUCGCUACAGGAUGGGCCCGCGGCGCAUUAGCUAGUUGGUGAGGUAACGGCUCACCAAGGCGACGAUGCGUAGCCGACCUGAGAGGGUGAUCGGCCACACUGGGACUGAGACACGGCCCAGACUCCUACGGGAGGCAGCAGUAGGGAAUCUUCCGCAAUGGACGAAAGUCUGACGGAGCAACGCCGCGUGAGCGAAGAAGGCCUUCGGGUCGUAAAGCUCUGUUGUUAGGGAAGAACAAGUACCGCAGUCACUGGCGGUACCUUGACGGUACCUAACGAGGAAGCCACGGCUAACUACGUGCCAGCAGCCGCGGUAAUACGUAGGUGGCCAAGCGUUUGUCCCGGAAUUAUUGGGCGUUAAAGCGCGCGCCAGCCGGUUUCCUUAAAGUCUGAUGUUGAAANCCCCAAGGCCUCAACCGUGGAAGGGGUCAUUGGAAAACUUGGGGGGUANUUGGAUUGCCAA